ensembl:lncRNA
AUUUGUAGGAUAGUCAAAGAAAUAAUAAUAAUAAUGAUAAUGGAUUGCAUUUAUAUAGCGCUUUUCGAGACCCUCAAAGCGCUUUACAGUUCCUCUAUUCAUUCAGUCUGACAUUCACACACUGGUGGAGGCAGCUACAGUUGUAGCCACAGCUGCCCUGGAGGAGACUGACAGAAGCGAGGCUGCCAUAUCGCACCAUCGGCCCCUCUGGCCAUCACCAGUAGGCGGUAGGUGAAGUGUCUUGCCCAAGGACACAACAACUGAGACUUGUCCAUGAGUGGACAAGCAGAAGCCCAAAAGCUUUGAUCGGCUUGAGAGCUCUGAUCAUGCAGAUCUCAAAAGCUGAUAUCCUGCAUGCCACAAAGAAUUGCAGAAGUUAUGAAGAAGAUGAUGAAAUGCUUGUGAUUGUGCUUCUGUGCCAUGGAAACAUGCAGGGGUUAAAGUUUCAUUCCCACAUCUUUGGUUAAUGAGUAAUGAAUGUGCUGCAGUCUGGCGUCCUUCCAGCUGAUGCCAUGGAGAUACUUACUUAGGAAGAGUACUGUAGCAUAAAUGGAGUAACUGUGUUUAAAGUGGCAGGUAAUUUCAAAGAACUCAGCAAUAAACACACAAACUGUCUGUGCAGCUUGGCUAUGCAAGCUAAAGAUACAGCUGCUAUUUUUCAGAGAGAGAAAAGUGAAUCUGUAAUAAGAUCACUCAGAGAUGGAGAAAAAUAAUAAGAGGAUGACGAGGUUAUUUUCAAAAGCUAUAAACUCAGAGAGCGACAGUUGACAAGCUAGAAAUGUAAAGUUUUACAUGUAUUGUUACGUUAAUGGUUCUUGUUCUGUUUUUGGUUUUUUUAUCAGAAGCUAGAUCUGUGCAGGAUGUUUUGCUGUAGCUGAACGGUUAUUUCAAGUUGUGAAACUUGAAUUGGAAUCAUUUUGUGUUAUGUAAAUGGUAUGAAAAUACUACACAGUUCAGUGCAGGCUAAACUGCUAUGUUAGCAGUGUUUACAUCCAGUGUACAGUACUGUGCUGUGUUGUGCUGCUGUAGAGCAGGCUGUGGUAUUCGUGGCCACUUAAAUUAGGUGAAGCAGUGGUGGAGAUGGGUAACCAGGUGAAAUAUAUGAUAUAAAACUCAGGUAAAUUUACUUUGCUGAGGCUUUUGCGCACUGAUGAAAUUCACCUUUAUUUAAGUGAAAUUUAACAUAGUUUGAUUUUUAAAAAAAAAUGUAAUUCAGAAGUUUAAAAACCACCAAGGUGGAUCGAGGCUGAUGAUGCUGUUUAGCUUAAAUUCUACCUUUCAUAUUGCCUUUAUACCGGCCAGGUGUUGAAAUAACCGCUUCAUAGGUCAUGUUAAAAUUAGAGAUGGACCGAUCCGAUAUUACGUAUCGGUAUCGGUCCGAUACUGACCUAAAUUACUGGAUCGGAUAUCGGAGAAAAAUAAAAAAUGUAAUCCGAUCCAUUAAAUAUCACGAAAGCACCUCACAAAACUUGCAACACGCCGUAACUCACCUCAGAACGUCGGAGCAGUAUGCAUCACGUGAUAGAGCAGCUGUGGCAUGCAGGACCUGUCGGUGGUCUGGAUAGCAUGUGGAGCUUCGCUAGCAACCUGGCAUUUCAUCUCCGACAAAGUUAUCCCCGAGAAAAGUAAAGCACGUGUGUAAGUCCAUCUCUGAAUGUUUGUAAAGCAUUCCCACGUUAAGCUUAACGAGCGACUGCCUCUCGCUCUCCGGCUGCUACUUCAGCUGAUCGGCUUUUCUGUCGUGAGUCUCUCUUGUUUGUUUUUGGUCCACUUUGCACCAGAAAGAGGAAACCAGCGGCUGGACAACAGCAGCACGUUUAAGCUUGAUCAGCUGUUGUUACAAUUUAUUUAAUAUUACUUUCUACUCGAGGAUCUUUUCCUACGUAGCUGACGGCUGGUAACUGUGCAGGGGCGGAUCUAGCAAAGUUUAGCCAGGGGGGCCGAUAGGGCAUGAACAGGGAAAAGGGGGCACAAAGACAUACUUUUCUUUCUUAUUCUCAUUUAAAAUGUCGAGCUUUUAAUAAAUAAUUAUCUGACACCCAAAGUUUUAAUUUGAUGUAAAAUGAAUAGAAGUCAAUUACUGUAUAUAGUGACUAUUAAGUCUAAUAUAUAUACCCUAGUAAGCUAUAGUACAUUUUCAUUUGGGAAGGUACCAUCUGUGCAGUCUGCAAUUUUGUUGAAGAAAGAUGUUGAAUCUAUUUAAUAUUUCUUGAAAAAUAAUUGAUUUCUGUGCAUUUUUUUUCACACUGCAUCAAAUUAAGGUUGAUUACAUUGAUUAAGCAUCAUGAGGUGGAGUGUGAGGGGUGGUUCCCUAUUUUUUAUUUAUUUAUUUUUGUUGUUGCUGGGAGUUGGAACCCUAUUAGUUAGGUUGCUUAAUAUUUACGCUAAGUACUCUUUAAAAUACCAGAAUAGGGAGGAUGGUGUAGGUCUAAGUUUAUUAGAUUGAUCAGUAUUGCUGAACUAUGAAAUAUUUUUUUUGUAUACAGGUAUAACAGAAUAGCUUUAGUGUAGUUGUUGUUUUAAACUUGAGUAUGAACUUGCAGACUUCCAAAAUGCAGCAAGAUAUUUUAAAAAACAGUUUUGUUGAUUAAAAAACACUAUAUCGGAUUCAUAUCGGUAUCGGCAGAUAUCCAAAUUUAUGAUAUCGGUAUCGGUAUCGGACAUAAAAAAGUGGUAUCGUGCCAUCUCUAGUUAAAAUCACAAAAAACAGUUACUCUAUCAGCUGACAGCCUGUACCCACAAAGAGAGAGGAACUCUAAUGGUACUCACAAUGAAAAUUAAUUUGUAACUUAUUAGUAAGUGAUUCAUUAGCUCAUGCUGCACUGCUUCAGUGGAUCUUAGGGUUUUGCAGCCUGUAACCCAUGGAAACGUGUAAGAAAUAAUCUAAAUAAGAAAUGAAGCAGCAAAGUGUUUAAAACACAGAGUUUUGGCUAUACAAAAAGGAAAUAAAUAUGUUCUUGCAAGUUAGAUGGUGUGCAGGAGCCUCUUUGUCUCCUAUGGUACCAGCAUUACAAAUGCUAUAUUGAUGUGUCUUCUAGGUCUGACUCCGUUAUAACAGUUUCCUGUGAAACGUUGGUUUGAAAAGGAGGUUAACUCGACGAGUUGACCUCUUUCGGUCACCUGCAGAAUGUGUCGUCAUUUCGGUAAAUGUCAGAGAAACCUUUUAAAAAUCUGAAUUGCAUGAUUGUCAUUAAAGCUACCCGACUUUCCAGACUGAUUAAAGGCUUUCUGAUGGUUGGACAUAUGUAUUGCAAGUUAAACUUGGUUUGUGAAGCAAAGGCAAUAAACUAAUUUAUUACCAUUA